CUUCAACCAGAUACAGAACAUCAGAAAGUAUCUGAAGACCUUUGAAAAAGAGGUCAAGAAAAUUGAAAAACUAUCUUGGGUAGAACAGUUUGACAAAAAGAUGGCUGAAUUUGUCAAAGGCGUGAAAGAUCGUGUCUCAAGUCAUCCACCGGUGGAUUGCAGACCUCCAUGUGGGCUUCAAAAAGCUGCCCGAACCUUUUCAUGCAGCCGAUGUGCUGAGGAGGACUGCAAGAUC